rnacentral:rRNA from 1 species
CCUACGGGAGGCAGCAGUGAGGAAUAUUGGUCAAUGGACGAGAGUCUGAACCAGCCAAGUAGCGUGAAGGAUGACUGCCCUAUGGGUUGUAAACUUCUUUUAUAUGGGAAUAAAAUGUUCCACGUGUGGGCUUUUGUAUGUACCAUAUGAAUAAGGAUCGGCUAACUCCGUGCCAGCAGCCGCGGUAAUACGGAGGAUCCGAGCGUUAUCCUGAUUUAUUGGGUUUAAAGGGAGUGUCGGGCGAUUGUUAAGGCAGUUGUGAAAGUUUGGGGCUCCACCGUGAAAUUGCAGUUGAAACUGGCAGUCUUGAGUACAAUAGAGGUGGGCGGAAGUCGUGGUGUAGCGGUGAAAUGCUUAGAUAUCACGAAGAACUCCGAUUGCGAAGGCAGCUCACUGGACUGCAACUGACACUGAGGCUCGAAAGUGUGGGUAUCAAACAGGAUUAGAUACCCUUGUAGUC